GACGAACGCUGGCGGCGUGCCUAAUACAUGCAAGUUGAGCGCUGAAGGUUGGUACUUGUACCGACUGGAUGAGCAGCGAACGGGUGAGUAACGCGUGGGGAAUCUGCCUUUGAGCGGGGGACAACAUUUGGAAACGAAUGCUAAUACCGCAUAAAAACUUUAAACACAAGUUUUAAGUUUGAAAGAUGCAAUUGCAUCACUCAAAGAUGAUCCCGCGUUGUAUUAGCUAGUUGGUGAGGUAAAGGCUCACCAAGGCGAUGAUACAUAGCCGACCUGAGAGGGUGAUCGGCCACAUUGGGACUGAGACACGGCCCAAACUCCUACGGGAGGCAGCAGGAGGGAAUCUUCGGCAAUGGACGAAAGUCUGACCGAGCAACGCCGCGGGAGUGAAGAAGGGUGUCGGAUCGUAAAACUCGGUUGGUAGAGAAGAACGUUGGUGAGAGUGGAAAGCUCAUCAAGUGACGGUAACUACCCAGAAAGGGACGGCUAACUACGUG
rnacentral:rRNA from 1 species